rnacentral:misc_RNA from 1 species
GUGAAUCAUCGAAUCUUUGAACGCACAUUGCGCCCUUUGGUAUUCCUUAGGGCAUGCCUGUUCGAGCGUCAUUUACACCCUCAAGCGCGGCUUGGUGAUGGGCGCCUGUCCUCCGGGACUCGCCUCAAAAGAAUUGGCAGCCAACUUCAGCGGCUUUGAGCGCAGCAGAAUUGCGUCCUCUCGCGGCGAAGGCGGCAUCCACAAGCUUACUUUUUACUUUGACCUCGGAUCAGGUAGGGAUACCCGCUGAACUUAAGCAUAUCAAUAAGCGGAGGA